rnacentral:precursor_RNA from 15 species
AUAAAUAUCUGUGCAAACUAAAUCAUGUGUUUAAGUAGGCAAUACAUGGGCGACUAAAUAAAAUAUACUCGCAAUGUAUAGCCUACAUAACUAGUUGAUUUUUGCAAGCAUCCAUUACAAAU